AGUGAACCCUGGCGGUAGGCCUAACACAUGCAAGUCGAACGGCAGCACAGUAAGAGCUUGCUCUUACGGGUGGCGAGUGGCGGACGGGUGAGGAAUACAUCGGAAUCUACUUUUUCGUGGGGGAUAACGUAGGGAAACUUACGCUAAUACCGCAUACGACCUACGGGUGAAAGCAGGGGAUCUUCGGACCUUGCGCGAUUGAAUGAGCCGAUGUCGGAUUAGCUAGUUGGCGGGGUAAAGGCCCACCAAGGCGACGAUCCGUAGCUGGUCUGAGAGGAUGAUCAGCCACACUGGAACUGAGACACGGUCCCGACUCCUACGGGGGGCAGCAGUGGGGAAUAUUGGACAAUGGGCGCAAGCCUGAUCCAGCCAUACCGCGUGGGUGAAGAAGGCCUUCGGGUUGUAAAGCCCUUUUGUUGGGAAAGAAAAGCAGCAGGUUAAUACCCCGCUGUUCUGACGGUACCCAAAGAAUAAGCACCGGCUAACUUCGU
rnacentral:rRNA from 1 species